rnacentral:rRNA from 1 species
UCGGACUUAGCUGAGAGGUAGGUGCAUGGCCGUCGUCAGUUCGUACUGUGAAGCAUCCUGUUAAGUCAGGCAACGAGCGAGACCCACGCCAACAGUUGCCAGCUCGUCCUCCGGGAUGGUGGGGACACUGUUGGGACCGCCUCUGCUAAAGAGGAGGAAGGAAUGGGCAACGGUAGGUCAGCAUGCCCCGAAUUAUCUGGGCUACACGCGGGCUACAAUGGGUGGGACAAUGGGUAUCGACACCGAAAGGUGAAGGCAAUCUCCUAAACCCAUCCGUAGUUCGGAUUGUGGGCUGCAACUCGCCCACAUGAAGCUGGAAUCUGUAGUAAUCGUGUCUCAAAAUGGCACGGUGAAUAUGUCCCUGCUCCUU